UCUUCGAGGUCGAACGAGCGAUUGAAGGCUGAGAGGUCGUCGUCUUCUUCGUAAUCGAUGUGGUAAUCUUCUCUGGUGAUCUCUCUGUACAAAUACUUGUAGUACUUGCAUAAACAAAACGAUACCAGCUAUUGUAUCACAUCGAUCAAUUGUAAAGGCAUGAGAGUUUCUCUCCAUACAUUAGGGAACGAAGUACGGUUUUUUGAUAGUUGGACUUGAUGGAAUCAAUCCAUGGAAAGUUUGAGAUGGAAAAGUUCCAGAUUCAGGAGACUUGGAGUAUGUGAAAGUUCAAGAUUUUAGGCGUCCGGGCGAGUCUGGAUCGGCAUUGAACCAACAAUGAACACUGAUACAAAGAGACCAGACGCUGGAGCUAAACCAAAAACAGCUUCGGAGUCGCGAGGAAGAGAGAGUCACAAGAAGCAGACUGAAUCGAUGCUUUCUUCAAUGUAGAGAUAGCCUUGACUUUGUUAAUAGUUUUAAAAUAAUGUUUGAUAUUAUGUAUGUAACGUUAAGUUGUUGAAAUGUUUUGUGGAUUGACAAAGGAGAAGCUGAUAAAACACUUUAUUUGUGUGUUU